ensembl:lncRNA novel transcript
GCUUUCCGUUGCGCGCCUGGCGGCCGGGCGGGAGCGUGGGCCGGAGCCUGAGGCGAGAGCGCGAGGUCCCGGGCUCUGCCUCAGGAAAGGAGGCCUGAGGUGGAAAACGACACUGGGGCUCUCGAGAGCCUCGGCUGGCCGUGCCCAGGCGCCCCUCGAACCCACCCGAGGACGCGGGCGUCACAGGCUGAGGAGAAAGUGGGAACCCCUCGGUGUCCCGGUGCCCCUUUCUCAGGGUGGCUUCUGGCGCGGCACGGGGCCUCGCUGCGCGUUUGCCGCCGCCCUCAGGGAGGCGUUUUCUCCAGCAGGAGCAGCCCCCCAGGCGGGACUCGAACCCCGACUGCCAUCGCGAGCCACCCCCGCGGCAGGCGUGGGCCUUCUCGUCAAGGCCCGGCCACCUCACUCUCGAGGCGGGAAGGAGCCGCACGACGGCCGCCUCCGGAUGCAACGGUCCCCGGGACGCGCUCCAUGGCCCCGCCUCCACCCCCCGCGCCAACUCGGAAAACGCUCGGGAAGAAUCCCGGGGGCCUCGGGGACCGGGACCAGGACCAGGCGCCGGACGCUGAUGGGAAGGAGGGGACACCCGGAGUUAGGGACAAAGUCACGAGGCCACUCGCAGAGCCCUCGCGCGCGUGUUCAUCGACUGCCCCCUGGGCGGUGACCUUAUUCAGCAAGACCUGAGCUCAGGGGCGGGGUGACAUCUAACUGGAGUCAUCAUGAUGGAGCCACGUGGUCCAACAGUGCCCGGUCCUUGUAACCAGGAGGGCCCGCAGUGUCACCACUUCCUCGAAGUGAGGCCACUGCCCUCAGCUUCUUGGAGACAGCAGAUAUGAGCAGAAACCCCCAAAAGUCAGGAGCAAAUUUGUUUCAGAAUCUCUCCAAAUCUGUGGCUUAAAACAAGUUCAGAGGGAUUUUGGUGCACAGCUACAGACUGAGCUGGUUUACUGCACAUUUAUAAAUGGAAAUCUUUAUUUCUUUUCCUCUCUAUGUUUUUAAGAAAUCCUGUUGCAAGGUCAUUAAUCACGUUAUCCAUUAUACCACAAACAAAUGGAUUUGUCACUUGUGCGCAGAAGCCGAGGUUGAUUCUGAAAGCAAAUUGUACCAAAAUAAAUGAAAUUAUUAUGAUAAUAUAAACUA